GAUGAACGCUGGCGGCGUGCCUAAUACAUGCAAGUCGAGCGAACAGACGAGGAUCUUGCUCCUCUGACGUUAGCGGCGGACGGGUGAGUAACACGUGGAUAACCUACCUAUAAGACUGGGAUAACUUCGGGAAACCGGAGCUAAUACGGGAUAAUAUAUUGAAGCGCAGGGUUCAAUAGUGAAAGACGGUUUUUGUGUCACUGAUAGAUGGAUCCGCGCCGCAUUAGCUAGUUGGUAAGUUAACGGCUUACCAAGGCAACGAUGCGUAGCCGAACUGAGAGGGUGAUAGGCCACACUGGAACUGAGACACGGUCCAGACUCCUACGGGAGGCCGCAGUAGGGAAUCUUCCGCAAUGGGCGAAAGCCUGACGGAGCAACGCCGCGUGAGUGAUGAAGGUCUUCGGAUCGUAAAACUCUGUUAUGAGGGAAGAACAAAUGUGUAAGUAACUAUGCACGUCUUGACGGUACCUAAUAAGAAAGCAACGGCUAACUACGUG
rnacentral:rRNA from 1 species